rnacentral:rRNA from 1 species
AAAUAACCCCGUAACUUCGGGAGAAGGGGUGCCUGCUUCGGCAGGCCGCAGUGAAGAGGUCCAGGCAACUGUUUACCAAAAACACAGGUCUCUGCUAAAGCGAAAGCUGAUGUAUAGGGGCUGACGCCUGCCCGGUGCUGGAAGGUUAAGGGGAAGUGUUAGGGCAACCGAAGCACAGAACUUAAGCCCCAGUAAACGGCGGCCGUAACUAUAACGGUCCUAAGGUAGCGAAAUUCCUUGUCGGGUAAGUUCCGACCCGCACGAAAGGCGUAAUGAUCUGGGCACUGUCUCAACAAUAGACUCGGUGAAAUUGUAGUACCGGUAAAGAUGCCGGUUACCCGCAGCAGGACGGAAAGACCCCGUGGAGCUUCACUGUAGCUUGAUAUUGAUUUUCGGCAUUGCAUGUACAGGAUAGGUGGGAGACGUUGAGUUCAGCACGCCAGUGUUGGAGGAGUCACCGUUGGGAUACCACCCUUGUAAUGUUGGAAAUCUAACCUAGUACCGUGAUCCGGUACAGGGACAGUGUCAGGUGGGCAGUUUGACUGGGGCGGUCGCCUCCUAAAGAGUAACGGAGGCGCCCAAAGGUUCCCUCAGAGCGGACGGAAAUCGCUCGAAGAGUGUAAAGGCAGAAGGGAGCUUGACUGCGAGACCAACAAGUCGAGCAGGGACGAAAGUCGGGCUUAGUGAUCCGGUGGUACCGAGUGGAAGGGCCAUCGCUCAACGGAUAAAAGCUACCCCGGGGAUAACAGGCUUAUCUCCCCCAAGAGUUCACAUCGACGGGGAGGUUUGGCACCUCGAUGUCGGCUCGUCUCAUCCUGGGGCUGGAGUAGGUCCCAAGGGUUGGGCUGUUCGCCCAUUAAAGAGGUACGCGAGCUGGGUUCAGAACGUCGUGAGACAGUUCGGUCCCUAUCCGCUGUGGGCGUUGGAAAUUUGAGUGGAGCUGUCCUUAGUACGAGAGGACCGGGAUGGACAUACCUCUGGUGCACCAGUUGUUCUGCCAAGGGCAUAGCUGGGUAGCCACGUAUGGACGGGAUAAGCGCUGAAAGCAUCUAAGUGCGAAGCCCCCCACAAGAAUAGAUUUCCUCCUUUAAGGUAAGACCCGUGGGAGACUACCACGUGAUAGGUCAGAGGUGUAAGUGCAGUAAUGUAUUAAGCUGACUGAUACUAAUAGGUCGAGCACUUGACCAG